rnacentral:rRNA from 1 species
GAUGAGCGCUGGCUACAGGCUUAACACAUGCAAGUCGAGGGGAAACGACGGGGAAGCUUGCUUCCCCGGGCGUCGACCGGCGCACGGGUGAGUAACGCGUAUCCAACCUGCCUCUGACUGAGGGAUAACCCGUCGAAAGUCGGCCUAAUACCUCAUGGCAUCGUCUGCGGGCAUCCAACGACGAUUAAAGAUUUCAUCGGUCAGGGAUGGGGAUGCGUCUGAUUAGCUUGUUGGCGGGGUAACGGCCCACCAAGGCUACGAUCAGUAGGGGUUCUGAGAGGAAGGUCCCCCACAUUGGAACUGCGACACGGACCAUCCUCCUACGGGAGGCAGCAGUGAGGAAUAUUGGUCAAUGGGCGGGAGCCUGAACCAGCCAAGUAGCGUGCAGGAUGACGGCCCUAUGGGUUGUAAGCUGCUUUUAGGCGGGGAUAAAGUGAGGGACGUGUCCUUCAUUGCAGGUACCGCAUGAAUAAGGACCGGCUAAUUCCGUG